rnacentral:sRNA from 1 species
GAAGUUGGCGAAGGAGUAUUGCCUCUUUAGUCCUAUUUUCGGUGCAGUUGUUUCUUUCCCGGGGAGGGCAUUGCUGGAUCCGAUAUGUCGCCCUUUUGUAUUGCUUCCAUCGGGUGGGAUCUUUACUCUGUUCUGUUGUGGUGGGAGCAUGGUUGCUGGGACCUUUUGGGGCGACACAACCGGUGAAACUGCUGCUAGCCUCAACGAGGAAGAUCUCGUCCAGAGGUGGUGAAAAAUAACAAGUCCUUACGAAUAAUACAAGGAACAGAUACUUGUGUUGAAUGUUGUAUGUAGCCAGGGUUCCAGGGCCGGCAGGGCAUUCAAUGGCAAAUAGCAACUCUCUGUGUAGGCAUAUUAGCGGAGCUCAGCACUCCGAUCAUGGGAUUAUCGGUCCCAGAAUAAAAUGCUACACCACAUAGGUUUUUUUCUAUAUAUGUUAAACUUUGGAGGUUGAGCAGCUUGGUAACGGUACUAGUAAC